rnacentral:misc_RNA from 1 species
CUGGCUUAAAACAGGCCCUUCCAAGAGUUCAACCUGCGUCGGAGGCAAAAGGUGAGGAAGAACACAAUGCAGACGCAAUUGAACUGUCCGAGAAUGUAACCAGUUUGUCAAAUUCUUGCGAGAAGGAGACUGAAUCAACAUCAGAGGAAGAUGAAGAGAGCUCGAAUGAGUCAGAAGGAGGACCGGGUUCAUCAACCGAGACAAUGCAGACGCCAGUUGACAGGAAAACUGCCAGAAAAGAGAACAAGAAGAAGGUGAAGGAAGAGAAGAGAGAGGCUCGCAAGAACAAG